AUUUACAAUCGUCACUCUUUGAAAUAAAAUGCUCCGCUGGGGCGCAGCUUGAUACAACCGCAGAGGUCGACCCUGAACAGUUGGGGCAAGUAUGGACACAACAUUCAAGCUUGAUACAGCACUGAAUUUGGAUUGUAAUUAAAUAUUUGACACAGCAUAGGUUUCUGACACAGAAUGAAUGUGGUCUAAGAACUUAAAAUUUUUUAAUUUACCUAUUCAAACCAUAUCAUUAUUAUUUGCUUUUAUAUAUAAAUCAGAAAUAACCAAUUUAAAAUGGAAAGUUUUAAAGAAAAAAAAAGGGAAAAAAAAUCCCCCCCCCCAAAUUUUUUGAACCCCCUUAUGAUUCAUCACCUUCAAACUAAAUCCCAGCCUUCCCUUUGUGGUAUGGCACCUUGCAGUACAAUUUCAGAGAGAUCCAUACACUUGAACACAAGUUUUUGUCUGGAAACUAGAAAAAUGCUUUUUUUUUGGCCCCUUUUUGGCCCCAAAUUCCUAAAUGUUCAGGGCAAUUACCCCCAAACUCAAUUCCAGCUUUCCCUUUGUGAUAUGGAACAUUGCAGUACAAUUUCAUAAAGAUCCAUACAUUUACACACAAGUUAUUGUCUAGAAACUAAAAAAUGCUUGUUUUUUUGCCCUUUUAUGGCCCCUAAUUCCUAAAAUUUUGAGGGAAUUACCCCCAAAAUCAAUCCCAGCCUUCCCUUUGUGGUAUGGUACCUUGCAGUACAAUUUCAGAGAGAUCCAUACACUUGAACACAAGUUAUCGUCUGGAAACUAGAAAAAUGCUUAUUUUUGGCCCCUUUUUGGCCCCUUAUUCCUAAACGUUUUGGACAAUUACCCCCAAACUCAAGUCCAGCUUUCCCUUUGUGAUAUGGAACCUUGUAGUACAAUUUCAUAAAGAUCCAAACACUUGAACACAAGUAAUUGUCAUGAAACUAGAAAAAUGCUUGUUUUUUGCCCCUUUUUUGCCCCUAAUUCCAUAAAUUUAGAGGCAAUUACCCCCAAAA